rnacentral:rRNA from 1 species
CAGUAGCCACGGGAAUACGAAGGGGGCUAGCGUUGCUCGGAAUUACUGGGCGUAAAGGGAGCGUAGGCGGACAUUUAAGUCAGGGGUGAAAUCCCAGAGCUCAACUCUGGAACUGCCUUUGAUACUGGGUGUCUUGAGUGUGAUAGAGGUAUGUGGAACUCCGAGAGUAGAGGUGAAAUUCGUAGAUAUUCGGAAGAACACCAGUGGCGAAGGCGACAUACUGGAUCAUUACUGACGCUGAGGCUUGAAAGCGUGGGGAGCAAACAGGAUUAGAUACCCCCGUAGUCCCUGUCUCUUAUAC